AUUUGCUGCAUGAGUCAUAAAUAUCAUGGAGCCACACUAAAACAUUUCAAAAGUGAGUCAACUUACAAAACUGCAAUUUGCUUCCAAACUCUUCAAGGACAUCUAUUGCAUAAAGAAAUCAAGCAAGGAAGGCCAGAAUAGAAUUCUGGUAUAUCUACACUUCAAACAAGUUUACAAUGGAAGAAUGGCCUCCUCAAAACCCCAAACAGCUGGAAUCGGGCCAAUUAGUAGGAUUAUUGCAAAGACCAGACAUUUAUCAGGACCCUUUUGCAGAAACACAUGUGGGGCUGUAAGCGAUGCAUUUCCUGGCUUCUGACAUGAGCUAAACAUCUGUUCAAGGCAAGGCUGUAAUGAAACUGUCCCAAGGCAUCUGAGAGUGGAGAGUGAUUGGACUCGGGUGAAGACUCCAAGAUGGCGAUCGCCACCUCGGAUACCCUGACUCAGCAUUUCCGGGUUCACCUUUCCUGUUCCCGCCAACCCGACUAACGCGCAUGCCCACUAGGGCGUGUCACACAGAGAAGUGCGAAACUCAACCGACCCCGCCCCUACCCCGCCCACUCCUCACCCAGCAUCCAUAAAAGCGUGCUGCCCCUUUGGCACAGCGCGACUUCCCUGGCCCUCCCCCUGCGGACCAGUGAACCUCGCCCGAGAGCUCAAUAAAGAAG
rnacentral:lncRNA from 1 species